rnacentral:rRNA from 1 species
UACGAAGGGGCUAGCGUUGCUCGGAAUCACUGGGCGUAAAGCGCACGUAGGCGGACUCUUAAGUCGGUGGUGAAAUCCUGGAGCUCAACUCCAGAACUGCCUUCGAUACUGAGAGUCUCGAGUCCGGGAGAGGUGAGUGGAACUGCGAGUGUAGAGGUGAAAUUCGUAGAUAUUCGCAAGAACACCAGUGGCGAAGGCGGCUCACUGGCCCGGUACUGACGCUGAGGUG